rnacentral:rRNA from 1 species
UACAGAGGUCCCGAGCGUUGUUCGGAUUCAUUGGGCGUAAAGGGUGCGUAGGUGGCGCUGUAAGUGGGGUGUGAAAUCCCGGGGCUUAACCCCGGGACUGCAUUCCAUACUGCGGUGCUUGAGGACUGGAGAGGAGACUGGAAUUUACGGUGUAGCAGUGAAAUGCGUAGAGAUCGUAAGGAAGACCAGUGGCGAAGGCGGGUCUCUGGACAGUUCCUGACACUGAGGCACGAAGGCCAGGGGAGCAA